rnacentral:lncRNA from 1 species
AACCAUGGACCAUGGAUGCCAGUGUCUUCCAGGGUGAGGAUGCAGGACACUGACCUCUGGUGACAUGUCCAAUGUGGCGUCUGGAAAGACUGUGGCCACCACAGGCAUGGGGACCAACGCAGACUCAAUCUGCACACACAGUGCUUACAGACAAUCUCAUCUCAGAAGUGAAUCCCAACAGGGCUUGCAAAACUACACAGCUUCCUUGCUCAAAACUCCAUUGCCAUAUGACAUCUCUUCAGCUUGAAGGCAAAGGAGAUAGAGAAUGGUGUAGGGGGGCAAAGACUCAAAAAAAACUUUUUCGGUUAUUAUUUCGGAAAGGAGGUAUUGAGUGUCUUUCAUGGAUGUUGAAAGCAAGAAAGAGCUUUCAUUUGCAAGAGCAUUUGUUCAAAAUGUAGGAGAGGUCUAAUAGGAACAGACUUAAGGAAAUCGGUUUGUUUAUCUUAUUAAAAAGAUCAAAUAGAGAGUCAUUUGUAGCAUAUAAGUAUUUUCACCAGGGAAAAAUAACAAAUAUUAAAGAUUUCUUCAAUCUAGUGAGAGAGGAGAGCUGAGUUCCAGUGGUUAAAAAAAAAAAAAAAAAAAAAAAAGUAGAGAAAUACACACUGGUAAUGAAGCAUUUCAUUUAAUUCUGUUCCCUUUGUGGGGAAGAACAAGGUUGAAUAACAAUGAUAACAAACAAUUGCUGCAACCACGGGUGCAUAGAUUGGGAAUGAAAGCUGUUCUGGAUGACGUGGCUUUUCUGGGCAGGAAAUACAAUGGUAGAGCAGUUGUGAAGCAAUGAGUGCAGCAGGAAGACAAUGAGCUUGGAAAGCCAGGUAGUACCAGUGAUGGUGCCCCUCUCAGUUGGUGGCACUGCCCCAUUUUUUGGAAAAGCCUCAGCUGGCCCUACAGCCAAGUGGGGAGCCUCCCAGGACCAGGUGUCUCUUCCAGCUCCCUCCACCUGCAGCUCUCCUGAGAUAUGGCACGAUCUAUUCAGCAGCCCAGGCAUGUCCCCUCCCUCUGAUGCCGAGGUGUUUUGCAAGACACUCUUUGCCCUCUACAGGACUUCACUGCAAAGACCUUCAGCUCAUUGCGAUAAUGAGGGGAGCUUCUUCUACCAGGUUUUCCAGCUCCAAUCAAGGCCUGGGACAGGUUAG